rnacentral:rRNA from 1 species
CGGCCAGGGCUACACACGUGCUACAAUGGCGCGUACAGAGGGCUGCAAGCUAGCGAUAGUGAGCGAAUCCCAAAAAGCGCGUCGUAGUCCGGAUCGGAGUCUGCAACUCGACUCCGUGAAGUCGGAAUCGCUAGUAAUCGCAAAUCAGAAUGUUGCGGUGAAUACGUUCCCGGGCCUUGUACACACCGCCCGUCACACCAUGGGAGUGGGUUGCACCAGAAGUAGAUAGCUUAACCUUCGGGAGGGCGUUUACCACGGUGUGAUUCAUGACUGGGGUGAAGUCGUAACAAGGUAACCCUAGGGGAACCUGCGGUUGGAUCACC